GACGAACGCUGGCGGCGUGCUUAACACAUGCAAGUCGAGCGGUAAGGCCCUUUCGGGGGUACACGAGCGGCGAACGGGUGAGUAACACGUGGGUGACCUGCCCUCAGCUCUGGGAUAAGCCUGGGAAACCGGGUCUAAUACUGGAUAUGACUCCAUGACGCAUGUUGUGGGGUGGAAAGCCUUGUGCGGCUGAGGAUGGGCCCGCGGCCUAUCAGCUUGUUGGUGGGGUGANGGCCUACCAAGGCGACGACGGGUAGCCGGCCUGAGAGGGCGACCGGCCACACUGGGACUGAGACACGGCCCAGACUCCUACGGGAGGCAGCAGUGGGGAAUAUUGGACAAUGGGCGAAAGCCUGAUCCAGCGACGCCGCGUGUGUGAAGAAGGCCUGCGGGUUGUAAA
rnacentral:rRNA from 1 species